rnacentral:rRNA from 1 species
UACGUAGGGUGCAAGCGUUAAUCGGAAUUACUGGGCGUAAAGCGUGCGCAGGCGGCUUUGCAAGACAGAUGUGAAAUCCCCCGGGCUUAACCUGGGAACUGCAUUUGUGACUGCAUGGCUGGAGUGCGGCAGAGGGGGAUGGAAUUCCGCGUGUAGCAGUGAAAUGCGUAGAUAUGCGGAGGAACACCGAUGGCGAAGGCAGCCCCCCUGGGCUGAGAUUGACGCUCAGGCACGAAAGCGUGGGGAGCAAACAGG